rnacentral:tRNA from 1 species
AAGAGGACAAGAUAUAAAAAUAGCUUCUAACUAAUUUUUAAAGCAGUUUAACUCUGUUUUCCUCUUA